AGGGAUUGGUAAAAUUUCAAGGAAAUGAAACUGAAAUAAAAUUGUCUCUGGAGAGCUUGACGUUUUGGUUGCUGAUUGUGGGAAUGUCCCUAUAUAAAAAGAAGAGAGUCAUUUGGCAGAAUAUCCUGGAUGGUCAGAGGAGAGUCGAAGGGAUAUCUAUGCUGGGAAAAAGUGAUUUUUGGUAAGAAGGAAUGAUGGAGCCAGUAUCACUUUUGCCUGUUCCACUCCCAUAACCUUGACUGAUAGAGAACAGAGACACAUAGGAUGAGAGAGAGAGAAACAAAGAAAAACAGAAAUCAAAUUUUAUCCCAGCCCAACCCUACUCCCUUCAGAAUGCAAUUUGGUAAAUUCACCUGAGUUUCAUCUCCUACAGGAAAAGGAGGGGAAUCUGGUAGGUGGCUUUUGAAUUUUGGUGUAGAAGUAAAAAGGUUGAUCAACCAUGCCUGGG